rnacentral:rRNA from 1 species
GACGAACGCUGGCGGCGUGCUUAACACAUGCAAGUCGAACGGACAGGCCCUGCUUUUGUUCUGUUCUCGAUUGGCGAAAGCGUGUGUAACACGUGAGUAACCUGCCCUUUACUUUGUGGUAACUUCAGGGAACUGCGGCUAUUACCGUGUAUGAUCUCCUGCUCCAUGUUGGGGGUUGGUAAGUUUCGGCUUUUGUGGCUGUACUCGCUGCUUAUCCGCUUGUUGGUGGGGUAGUGGCUUACCACGGUUUUGACGGAUAGGCGUCCUGAGAGGGUGACCGGGCACAUUAGGCCUAAGGUACGGCCCAGACUGCUACGUGAGGCAGCAGGGGGGAACAUUGCAGAAUGGGCGGAAGCGUGAUGUAGAAACGCCGCGUUCGGGAUGCCGGGCUUCGGGGUGUAAACAGCUUUCGAAUGUGACGAAGCGUGAGUGACGGUAAUGGGUAAAGAAGCCACGGCUAACUACGUG